rnacentral:rRNA from 1 species
GACAGAGGAUGCAAGCGUUAUCCGGAAUGAUUGGGCGUAAAGCGUCUGUAGGUGGCUUUUUAAGUCUGCCGUCAAAUCCCAGGGCUUAACCCUGGACAGGCGGUGGAAACUACCAGGCUGGAGUACGGUAGGGGCAGGGGGAAUUUCCGGUGGAGCGGUGAAAUGCGUAGAGAUCGGAAAGAACACCAACGGCGAAAGCACUCUGCUGGGCCGACACUGACACUGAGAGACGAAAGCUAGGGGAGCGAAUGGG